rnacentral:misc_RNA from 1 species
GAUGAAGAACGUAGCGAAAUGCGAUAAGUAAUGUGAAUUGCAGAAUUCAGUGAAUCAUCGAAUCUUUGAACGCACAUUGCGCCCGCCAGUAUUCUGGCGGGCAUGCCUGUUCGAGCGUCAUUUCAACCAUCAAGCCCCGGGCUUGUGUUGGGGACCUGCGGCUGCCGCAGGCCCUGAAAUGCAGUGGCGGGCUCGCUGUCACUCCAAGCGUAGUAGUUACAUCUCGCUCUGGGCGUGCUGCGGGUUCCGGCCGUUAAAAGCCUUAUUUACCCAAGGUUGACCUCGGAUCAGGUAGGAAGACCCGCUGAACUUAAGCAUAUCAAUAAGCGGAGGA